UGGGGGAUAUUGCACAAUGGGCGAAAGCCUGUUGCAGCGACGCCGCGUGGGGGAUGAAGGCCUUCGGGUUGUAAACUUCUUUUGCUCUGAACAAGGCAUGCUAAUGGGUGUGUUGAGUGUAGGGGUUGAUUAGCGCCGGCUAACUACGUGCCAGCAGCCGCGGUAAUACGUAGGGCGCGAGCGUUGUCCGGAAUUAUUGGGCGUAAAGGGCUUGUAGGUGGCUGGUUGCGUCUGUCGUGAAAGCUCAUGGCUUAACUGUGGGUUUGCGGUGGGUACGGGCUGGCUUGAGUGCAGUAGGGGAGGCUGGAAUUCCUGGUGUAGCGGUGGAAUGCGCAGAUAUCAGGAGGAAUACCGGUGGCGAAGGCGGGUCUCUGGGCUGUUACUGACACUGAGGAGCGAAAGCAUGGGGAGCGAACAGG
rnacentral:rRNA from 1 species